ensembl:lncRNA
GGGGAAGGAGUAGGCAUAGCAACCGCAGACACAGGUACCCACAUCGAUGAAGGUGCAGGAAGAUCAGGCUCCAAACACAGGUACCCACAUCGAUGAAGGUGAGGGAAGAUCAGGCUCCAGACACAGGUACCCACAUCGAUGAAGGUGCAGGAAGAUCAGGCUCCAGACACAGGUACCCACAUCGAUGAAGGUGCAGGAAGAUCAGGCUCCAGACACAGGUACCCACAUCAAUGAAGGUGAGGGAAGAUCAGGCUCCAGACACAGGUACCCACAUCGAUGAAGGUGCAGGAAGAUCAGGCUCCAGGGCAGCGAAACUAUUCGUUGUUUGUAUCUGCUCCAGGCCUCUCGUUGGGAGUGUAACCUGCUUUGUGGGAGGCCGCUGUCUUCGGCUUCCACUGCUCAUGAAAUGCUCAUGAAAUGUGCACAUCAUGGAUUAGCAUGCUCCUCUUGCUGUGCUCCUUUGACUCCGCUAUCAGAUGGGGGAGGAGAGGCAGGAGAUGGCACCCCUGGCGAACAAACUCUGGGCAACACCGGCCAGUUGGACAUUGACAAACUGCAAGGCGGAGAUGCAUCCAAGAAGCCCG